CGAGCGGAAACGAGUUAUCUGAACCUUCGGGGAACGAUAACGGCGUUCGAGCGGCGGACGGGUGAGUAAUGCCUAGGAAAUUGCCCUGAUGUGGGGGAUAACCAUUGGAAACGAUGGCUAAUACCGCAUGAUGCCUACGGGCCAAAGAGGGGGACCUUCGGGCCUCUCGCGUCAGGAUAUGCCUAGGUGGGAUUAGCUAGUUGGUGAGGUAAGGGCUCACCAAGGCGACGAUCCCUAGCUGGUCUGAGAGGAUGAUCAGCCACACUGGAACUGAGACACGGUCCAGACUCCUACGGGAGGCAGCAGUGGGGAAUAUUGCACAAUGGGCGCAAGCCUGAUGCAGCCAUGCCGCGUGUGUGAAGAAGGCCUUCGGGUUGUAAAGCACUUUCAGUCGUGAGGAAGGUGGUGUAGUUAAUAGCUGCAUUAUUUGACGUUAGCGACAGAAGAAGCACCGGCUAACUCCGUGCCAGCAGCCGCGGUAAUACGGAGGGUGCNAGCGUUAAUCGGAAUUACUGGGCGUAAAGCGCAUGCAGGUGGUUUGUUAAGUCANAUGUGAAAGCCCGGGGCUCAACCUCGGAAUAGCAUU
rnacentral:rRNA from 1 species